UAACUAGAAAAAUGUUGUUCUAAGCCAGGAUUGGACAAAUGCCAGGAGCCCGGUAGCCAAUGCUCCUUAAAAAUUACAGCUGGCGCCCAACGUUUGAGGU